rnacentral:lncRNA from 1 species
CAGGUCUUAGUUUCCUGGUUCGGUGGAAUUUAGGUUUUAGAGGAGGAAGAAAGCCACCAGGUGGUGCCAGCCAUUUUCUGAUGCAGAAAGAAGACAACUCAGCUAAGGAAUUUCAUCCGGGAUAACCUUAAUAGUUUGGGAUCUCUUAAGGCACUCAGCCAUCUGCCUCAGAUUUAAUGUUAUUAAGUACUUUGAAAUUCUUGCGCUUUAAAUCCCUAUGGAGAAGACUGUGUCUCUGGCUUGUGAUCUGUCAUGCUAUACUCUUAGCUGAUUGGAGUUUUGUAUUUACAAAGGAAAAGUAGUUGCCUGUAGUGAUCAGCUGUUGCUUUUUUGCAUAGCCAUUUCAUUAUGCAGCAAUGUUUAAGUACCUAUUCUCAGGGUAGUAAAAAUUUGGUUCAGCAAAUUAUUGUGUUAAAAUCAGUACAAACAAAUAAUGCUUGGUAUUUAGUAAGAUAAUUCUAUCUGUAAUCUGUAGGGAGAACAA